GGUAGCAUGGCCCGAGCGGUCUAAGGGCGCUGGUUUAAGGCACCAGUCAUUUCGAUGGAACCGUGGGUUCGAAUCCCACUGCUGCCA
rnacentral:tRNA from 1 species